rnacentral:rRNA from 1 species
AUUGAACGCUGGCGGCAGGCCUAACACAUGCAAGUCGAGCGGAGCGGCGGAAGGGUGAGUAAUGCCUAGGAAUCUGCCUGGUAGUGGGGGAUAACGUCCGGAAACGGGCGCUAAUACCGCAUACUAUCAGAUGAGCCUAGGUCGGAUUAGCUAGUUGGUGGGGUAAAGGCCUACCAAGGCGACGAUCCGUAACUGGUCUGAGAGGAUGAUCAGUCACACUGGAAAUGAGACACGGUCCAGACUCCUACGGGAGGCAGCAGUGGGGAAUAUUGGACAAUGGGCGAAAGCCUUAUCCAGCCAUGCCGCGUGUGUGAAGAAGGUCUUCGGAUUGUAAAGCACUUUUAGUUGAGAGGCGUUACCAACAGAGAAAGCACCGGCUAACUUCGUGCCAGCCGCCGCGGUAAUUC